rnacentral:rRNA from 1 species
ACCUGCCUUCGAGUGGGGGAUAACGUUCCGAAAGGAACGCUAAUACCGCAUAAUAUCCUGCCUUUUAAGAGGUGGACAUCAAAGCUGGGGACCGCAAGGCCUGGCGCUUGAAGAGGGGCCCGCGCCUGAUUAGCUAGUUGGCGGGGUAAUGGCUCACCAAGGCAUCGAUCAGUAUCCGGCCUGAGAGGGCGGUCGGUCACACUGACACUGACAUACGGGUCAG